GAGGGCUUGACACGGCGCCUCCCACCACCACAUCCUCCUGCGCCGCUGCCUUCCACCGCAUUCGCUCGCGUCGCCGCCUCCUCUCGCUGUAGACACCGCCGCCGCCUCACAUCGGAUCUGCCGGAGCAGCCACUUGUAGACGCAUCCGCGGCCGCCACUGACUUUCCCGGCGCCGCCUUCCUUCCUCCCAGUGCAGACAUCAGGGUUGAUAUACAUGAGAUUGGGUGCUUUUGUGAGGGACUUCUGUUUGCUGCACCAAGAAUGUUAUUGUGAUGUACCUGAGAAAUGUGCUGUUAAUUGAGGAACUUUACAAGUAGAUAUUAAUGAUUUAGCUUCAAUUUAUGUAAUUUAAUCCCUGCUACUUAUUACUGUAAUAGAGGUCUACAUGUGUGAAUCUAUAAUCUUAGUGUGCACUUAUAUUCUAAUAUGAAUUGACAUUUUUUUCUAGACUUUGUAAUAAUCAUGACAUAAAUUGUAC
rnacentral:lncRNA from 1 species